ACUCCUACGGGAGGCAGCAGUGGGGAAUAUUGCACAAUGGGCGCAAGCCUGAUGCAGCCAUGCCGCGUGUAUGAAGAAGGCCUUCGGGUUGUAAAGUACUUUCAGCAGUGAGGAAGGUGGGUAUGUUAAUAGCAUACUCAUUUGACGUUAGCUGCAGAAGAAGCACCGGCUAACUCCGUGCCAGCAGCCGCGGUAAUACGGAGGGUGCGAGCGUUAAUCGGAAUUACUGGGCGUAAAGCGCAUGCAGGUGGUUUGUUAAGUCAGAUGUGAAAGCCCGGGGCUCAACCUCGGAAUUGCAUUUGAAACUGGCAAACUAGAGUACUGUAGAGGGGGGUAGAAUUUCAGGUGUAGCGGUGAAAUGCGUAGAGAUCUGAAGGAAUACCGGUGGCGAAAGGCGGCCCCCUGGACAGAUACUGACACUCAGAUGCGAAAGCGUGGGGAAGCAAACAGGAUUAGAUACCCUGGUAGGCU
rnacentral:rRNA from 1 species